rnacentral:rRNA from 1 species
CCCAUGGCUCAGAUUGAACGCUGGCGGCAGGCCUAACACAUGCAAGUCGAGCGGAUGACAGGAGCUUGCUCCUGAAUUCAGCGGCGGACGGGUGAGUAAUGCCUAGGAAUCUGCCUGGUAGUGGGGGACAACGUUUCGAAAGGAACGCUAAUACCGCAUACGUCCUUACGGGAGAAAGCAGGGGACCUUCGGGCCUUGCGCUAUCAGAUGAGCCUAGGUCGGAUUAGCUAGUUGGUGAGGUAAUGGCUCACCAAGGCGACGAUCCGUAACUGGUCUGAGAGGAUGAUCAGUCACACUGGAACUGAGACACGGUCCAGACUCCUACGGGAGGCAGCAGUGGGGAAUAUUGGACAAUGGGCGAAAGCCUGAUCCAGCCAUGCCGCGUGUGUGAAGAAGGUCUUCGGAUUGUAAAGCACUUUAAGUUGGGAGGAAGGGCAGUAACAUAAUACGUUAGUGUUUUGACGUUACCGACAGAAUAAGC